CCUGUCUUUCCAUACACAGCGCCACCUACUGGCCGGCGCCGAUAUUGCAGUUCAUUUUAAAUUUCACACGAAAAAUAUCAGAACAAGCUGAAAAAUCCAGGGGGGGCAAGUGCCCCCCCUUGCGGACGCCCAUGCUCAUGGAGUCUGUUUCUGACCGUUUGAGCAGACUUAUGCACAUUUGUGACUUGCUGGAGGUCAUUUU